GAAGGAGGGAAGUUCUUUUGUUCAUUCAUUAAGUUCUGUGCUGGAGUGAAAAGAUCCAGGAAUCAACCAGGGUAAGGCCCACAGGAUUGAAGGCUUGGUCUUCUUCAUACUCCAUAUGAUUUUGUCUGAUCUAGUCUGUAAGGUCCUUGGGGCAGAGAGAAUGUUUUCCUUUUUCUAUGUCAUUGAAUGGCACUCAUUAAAGUGUUUUCCAAAGACAGAUUGCUACCUACAGUGGGCUGGACAAGACUUUAGUAUUCUGAGAGGCACAUCAAAGCCUGCAGCAUGAUAUGUGUCUGUAUUAUGACCAUUUUUAAAAGCUCUCUGCCUAUCUGUCUUUGUCUUUAAGCAAUUUUCUUUACUUCCAGUGGAAAGUUAAGAUGUGGGUAGAGACACUAAGAUCUGAUUUAAGCUCAUGAGGUUUUGGUGAAAGCUAGAAGCUCAUUAUCUUCUGUAAUGUGUUGCGGUUUAUAUCAUUGUCUAGCAAAGUAAAAUUGAAACCACUGAGUAAGUGCCUUUUCCCCCUAGCCUGUGUAAGUGCCUCUUUCCUAAUUGAAGACUCAAACUUAUUUGAGGAAUUGCUUAAAUAUUCUGGAAAAAUAUACAUCUUCCAGAGCUCAGACUUAUCAUAAAAAACAGCUGAUCUCCAACUUCUAAUCAAAAUGGGUCAUUGCUGCUAUAAUUAAAAUCACUUUAUUAUAAAUGUUGAAUUCAUUUUUAGGAAAUAAGACCAAUUACUUCCCAGCAUAAGAAAUGCUUCUUUUUUAUUAAGACAUGUAAAUCUAAUAACUUUUGUCAUGGAGUCUUUUCCCAUGGAAUGCAAUGACAGAAGUACUUUCACUGAACAGUACAGCAAAUUAGCAUUUACAAGGUGGCACCUGCAGACUGAUUAGUAACAGACUCCCAGUCCUGUAAAGCCUCCACUGACUUACUCUGUAACUAUGGGCAAGUCAUCUAACCAGAUUCUCAAAGAUAUUUAGGCUCCUAACUUCCAUUGAUCCUAAAUAUCUUUGAAGUCUAUGCCUCAAAUACCCCAUCUGUGAAGUGGGAGUAAUAUGCAUGUUUGCCCUUGAAAAUUACUUUGAGGUCUAUGAAUGAAAAACCACUGUAACAGUGCAAUGUAACUUCUUCUGGCUCAUGAUGUAGGUCCAAUAAACUUACUGGAGUUCUCCAGUGCAACUGGGCCUGAAUGACUUUUUAAUCUAAAUCUAGAGGGAUGACAUUGUUUAAACAAAUAUAGCAUACUAGUGUGUUUAUGUAAUUCUUAUACAAAGACUAAAUUGUAUAACAAGAAAGAUUUAGAUGUUUUAACUGAUUUUGUUUGUAUGUGGAUGCUCGAUACAGCAAAGCCUCUGUCUUAUUUCUUUAGAACUUUCUCUCUAGAGUUUGAAGCCAUUGGAAAGUGUAGAGACAUAAUUUCAGGUAUCGGUUUUUCUAUAUCAGACUGCAACUGUUUUGUACACCAUUUUUCACUGUGAAUGGUUCUGUAGUUUCAAAGCAGUAUUUUGAAGGAAUAGGUUCAUUUGUUUUGUUCAAUAGGUUUCUUGCCACACGUGUUUGUGAAAUUCUUUUUACUUUCCAUUCAGUGUUUUCUCUAGUGACUGCUUUUGCUAUAUCUCUGUUUAUUUUAUAACCAGUGACACAGAUAUUUUCUCGUUUGGAUGCUUAUUGAACUUGUGUUGAUGCCUGACACAUUCUAGUGAACUCCUAAACAUUCAGCAUAAUAAUACCGGCUUUGCAGUUGUAGUUCAUUCUGUACUCUAUCUAAGUGGCAUCUUAUCUCUUAAUUUGCAGAGGGUAACAAAGGCUCUGUCUUUCUUUGGCUGCAAAGGUUUGACUUUUUUAAACUAAUGUUCUUCUUGAAACCUGUUUCAACAAAAUAUACACUAAAGGGACCUGAAUCACCACUGUAUUAUUGCACUUUUACACCAUUGUAACCUCAUUGAGAUCAAUGGAGUUACACCAAUAUAAACCUGGAGUAAUGUGUGAUGAAACAAGCCCUUACAUUCUAAGCUGAAAUAGCAGCCUUGCUUUUUCGUUUGUUUUUGAUUUUUUUUCUUUUUUACAUAAGCAUUUAAAAUGCUGCUGCUACUAGCCGUGCUACUGGAAGUUGGUGUAAUCUCUAUUUCUGUAAAAUAUUUACUGCAUAUAUAUUUGAUUAUCACUAGAGGUGGUUCAGAAUCAGAAGUUCAAAUUAAAACCUCACCCCACUGAAUUUCAGUAUGGGCAUUUGAGUGUGUGAGAUUCAAAUCCCCUGCUCAGAUUCCGAGCAAAAUCAGGGCUAGGAGUCAGGUUAAAUGGGGAUUAAACUUGGUGAAUCCAUCUUGCCAGAUUUCAAUACAAAAUGACAGAAAUUUCAGGACAUCACCUGAACCAGCAGGUCUAGUCUCUCCAAAGGGGGUAGGAGAAUGGCAACAUGAGAGCAGACUAUGGCUUAGUACCCCUGCUGCACCAAAGAGUGGAGCUGAUGCAGGUUAAGGAGUAGCAUACACCCAAUGAUCAUUUGGAAACAAGAGUCAUAUGAUCUCGGGUCUCUCUACUUGAAAUAGCAUGGAGUAUAUCAUUCACGUGGUACAUACUCUUAUUUUAAACUAGAAGAAAUCAAAACAAACUCCAUUAGAUUAAUUUACAUUUCACUGAUUAAUGGAGCAUAGUUGUCAGGAGUAGUGAUUUAUUGGAACUGGCAUAGUUCAAUCCUAUUUGUAAAUGUUGAAGUUCCUGGACAGCAACAGUGAGUGUGAAUUUAGUAUCUGUAUUUCACCAAAAACUGUGCUGCCAAGUAAUUUUCUCUUUCAUAUGACCAAUGGCAUUUGCACUGCUGUUCUGUUCGAAAAUCAAUUAACAUGAUUGUAAUAACUACCACAAUGUUGCCAGUCAGCAAUGGGAGUAAGAGAUAGAUCAUCUAAAGGAGCAGAGACCAUUAUUUAAUUUGGAUGCUUGCAUGGGAGAUGUCUCAUCAUUGUUGUGGUGGCUAGAAUACCUCUCAUAUUUCAAAAAGCAACAGAGGGUCCUGUGGCACCUU